GGGGAAUAUUGCACAAUGGGCGAAAGCCUGAUGCAGCGACGCCGCGUGCGGGAUGAAGGCCUUCGGGUUGUAAACCGCUUUUGAUUGGGAGCAAGCGAGAGUGAGUGUACCUUUCGAAUAAGCACCGGCUAACUACGUGCCAGCAGCCGCGGUAAUACGUAGGGUGCAAGCGUUAUCCGGAAUUAUUGGGCGUAAAGAGCUCGUAGGCGGUUUGUCGCGUCUGGUGUGAAAGUCCAUCGCUUAACGGUGGAUCUGCGCCGGGUACGGGCAGGCUGGAGUGCAGUAGGGGAGACUGGAAUUCCCGGUGUAACGGUGGAAUGUGUAGAUAUCGGGAAGAACACCAAUGGCGAAGGCAGGUCUCUGGGCUGUUACUGACGCUGAGGAGCGAAAGCGUGGGGAGCGAAC
rnacentral:rRNA from 1 species